UCCCUGGUGGGCUAGUGGUUAGUCCACAGCACUCUCACCCCUGUGGCCCGGGUUUAAUUCCCAGCCAAGGAA